rnacentral:rRNA from 1 species
UACGGGGGGGGCAAGCGUUGUUCGGAAUUACUGGGCGUAAAGGGCUCGUAGGCGGCCAACUAAGUCAGACGUGAAAUCCCUCGGCUUAACCGGGGAACUGCGUCUGAUACUGGAUGGCUUGAGUGUAGGAGAGGGAUGCGGAAUUCCAGGUGUAGCGGUGAAAUGCGUAGAUAUCUGGAGGAACACCGGUGGCGAAGGCGGCAUCCUGGACUACUACUGACGCUGAGUGAGCGAAAGCCAGGGGAGCGAACGGG